UACGAGGGAUCCUAGCGUUGUUCGGAAUUAUUGGGCGUAAAGCGGAUGUAGGUGGCUAUGUAAGUCAGAUGUGAAAGCCUGGGGCUCAACCCCAGAAGUGCAUUUGAUACUGCGUAGCUUGAGUGUCGGAGAGGUUACUAGAAUUGUUGGUGUAGUGGUGAAAUACGUAGAUAUCAACAGGAAUACCGGAGGCGAAGGCGGGUAACUGGCCGAACACUGACACUGAGAUCCGAAAGCGUGGGGAUCAAACAGG
rnacentral:rRNA from 1 species